UGAUCCAGGACUGCAGGGAAGAACGUUUUUUCCUCAACAUGUGGCUUUUAUCUCUAAAUGCAAGGCUGUCACUCAACUCAUUUCCACUUCCCAAUCAGGGAAGGUGGGAGGAGGAAGGGGAAGGCAAACAGCUUCCCUCUCUUCCAGCAACUUCUCAUUUUGAAACAUUUCGAACCUACAGAACAAAAUAGAAAGAUUUUUUUAAAAAAUGGAGCCAAGAGCCUUUUAGCUAGAUUUAUUAAUUGUGGAUAUUUUGCCAUUGGUUUUUAACUCUAUAUAAGUAGGAUAAUGCUGAAAGUUACACAAAGGAGCAUGUCUUAUCAUAUAAAAGGAAGGUCAACAAGCCAGUUAGAAACAUUCCAAUGGAAACGGUUGAUUUGAUAAGAAAUGUUGUGGAUGAUUUUCCUUUUUAUUCCCUUUUUUAUUAGAAUGCUUGCCCCACAAACAAAAACACAAAUAAGAGAGAAGAUUUUUUUAAAGAAGAAAAGCAUCGAAUCCGCAGCAGAACGCUAGCAGCCUAGCCUCUCCAAGUGAAGAAUAAGAAGAUAAAGAGAGUGAAGUACUUCGAGACUAAAAAUUUACCCAAGGUUACAAAGCUGAAAAAACACAGGUUACAGCAGCACUACGCCCGGAUCUCCCACCACCAGCCUUUGGAGAGACCUCGGAGUGCAUCUUCAGAAACUCUGCAUGGAAGAGAAAAGAGGGAAGGAAGCUGUGAUAGUUCCCGGAAGGAGAAAGGCCACCGUAAGUGUGAAAAUAGUAAAAGAGUUCCGGUAGCUAAGAGCAUUGACUACAGGAAAGAAACUGCAGAGUGACCUGAGAUUCAAAAAAGCAGUUCUGGAAAGACUGGGGAAGGAAAGGAUGGAAAAGUAGAAGGAAUCUUCAUAUACUUCAUAGAGAAAGCAAAAAGAAACAUCAGAGAAAGAUUCAAAGACUCAAGAUCCUCCAAGACAAAAGAAAACAAACAAACAAACAAAAGGACACACAGACACUAUUUGGGCCAAAUACAUUUUUUUUCUUAUUGAAGUAUAGUGAGAUUUAUUCUGUGCAUUGAACAAUGUUUGACAAUA